UCCUGUGCCCGGGAGGCCGGGGUGCCCUGUCGGUGCCUCCGGUUCACGGCGAGUCUGGAACAAGCACGGCACAACUGCAGGUUCCGGGAUAUGACGCAGACCGGCCACGUCCCYGUCACGGACGCUGUUCUGUUCAGCUACAAGAAACACUUUGUGGCCCCCGACCUCUCCGAAGGCUUCUCCCAAAUCCUCCAGAUCCCCUUCGUGCCCCAUUUCGGGGACCCCCCAGACCCCCAACGCCGGCGCCUCUUCUUCCAAUUCAGCGAUGGAUGAAACCCCUCCUUGAACCCCCAAUAAAGGCAUUGCCCUUCUCCCAAAUUUUGGGAAAAUUUG